rnacentral:rRNA from 1 species
CCCCUAAGGCGAGGCCGAAAGGCGUAGUCGAUGGGAAACAGGUUAAUAUUCCUGUACUUGGUGUUACUGCGAAGGGGGGACGGAGAAGGCUAUGUUAGCCGGGCGACGGUUGUCCCGGUUUAAGCAUAUAGGCUGGUUGUCCAGGCAAAUCCGGAUAAUCAAGGCUGAGGUGUGAUGACGAGGCACUACGGUGCUGAAGUAACAAAUGCCCUGCUUCCAGGAAAAGCCUCUAAGCAUCAGGUAACAUCAAAUCGUACCCCAAA